AGUCAUGUACUUGAGGUGUUUUAGUGGUUCUCUUUUUCAUUUGAUUGCUUUUGUGCAGUGCAACAUAAGAAUGCUUGGAGGACUUGUCUCUGGUCAUCUACUUGCCACUGAUUCUACAGACAGGUUGGGUGAAGGUACACAAGAAUCAGCGGCUUACUUUGGCCGAGGAUUUGGGGAAACACUUUCUACCUGCAUUUGACACACCGACUGGAUUACCAUAUGCAUGGGUUAACUUAAAGGUGGUUUUGUUUUUAAGAAGGAUAUACGACUCCCCAUCAAUGCAAAAUUCCGUGGACCGUAUGGAGUGAUUGAGAAUGAGACUACUGAAACAAGCACUUCAGGGUGUGGAAUUCAGGUUCUCUAAUUCUGGAAAUGGGAGCAUUAUCCCAAUUGACUGGGGACCCGAAAUACAAAUCUGCAGCUUUACGUGCUCAUCGUUGAAUUUACUUGGUACAAACACUGGAUGUAUCAACUGGGGAAUGGAUUGAAUAUUCAACUGGGAUUGGGGCUGGGGUUGAUUCAUUUUAUGAGUAUCUAGUUAAGGCUUGCAUUCUUUUUGAAAAGGGGAAGUUCUGGAGAAUGUUUCAUUCUGCUUAUAUUGCUGUGCAGGAAUAUUUCAGACAUGGUCCAAGAACAUAUACAUCAUCCACAACAAACUAGCAGAACCAAAGUGGCCCUUACCUUCAUGAAUGGAUCUCCUUCCUCCCAGCAGAUCUUGCCUUCCUCCCAAUCUCCUUUCAGAAAAGCCUCCUCAUCCUGACCUUGCAACUCAUCAUCUUCCUUGAGGUAUACACCCAAUUUCUUAAGUGGGAGUCCAAAGUGGACCUGUAGAAAAGGAUCUUCACUGCCACAGCCACACAACAUCUCAAGUUGUUUGAGAUCCUAUAAAUGGUCCUCAAAAUACACUGACUUCUCCAUGUUCAAAAUGGUACGGCGAGCCGAUUCCCUUUCCUUAGUCCGUUGCAUCAAUUUUCUGCUUGGUGGAGAAUCAGGUGGACCUUUAAUUAUCUUGUUUGCUUUCAAUAUUGUAUCUGAAAAUCGUAUCUUCAGUGACCAAAUUCGGCUAGCCUUGCAUGGAGAAAGAUUAUGCGAGGCCUGAUCCAUGGCAUGAUGAACAAGGGUAGUCAAGAUCAUCUUUGGUUGAAUCAACUGGCUGAGAAUCAAAAACCCCAAGCCCUUGAGUUUGAAGAACUAGAAGUAGAAGAGCUCUUGCCCUAUUUCAGUUUGGGUGACACUAACAAACCCUUGACUUUGCACAAAGGACAAGUAGUCUUUGGCUUUUUCUCUAUGGCUUUUUUCCACUUGGUCUCAAAAACACCACUGCGAUUCUUGGUUUCUCCAUGCUCAAUUCUCCCAAACCGAUAAUAUCUUAAAGCACUUGAGAAGAUAAGCCUGACAUUAGCAGCAAAGCCAUUAGCGCUGGAGUAGGCACCUCUCUCCAAUUUGGAUUUCACAGUACCGAAAUCCGUCGGCCUCCCGAUGUCGUCAAAAUAACCAGGCAAAUUCUCGGCCACAAGAUCAACCACAUGCUUAACGAAGAACCUUGCAUGGCGGAGCAUCAUGUGAAAACCUAAGAUUUCAGAACAAUACAUCGUUUCUUUCCACCAACACCCAGUUUUGCCUCUUGCUCUUUGGGGUCUGAUGGAGAUCAUCUAAACCCAGCUCCUCCAAUUGGCCAUGCUUUCUAGAAGACGAAGCCAAAGUGAUGAUGGUCUUGCCUUGUUUAUGUGACAAACCCUUGCACAGAGGAAGACAAGCAGUUGGCUUUUCCUCCUUGAAGACCUCUUGCUCUUCUUGCUCCAUGGCUAUGUAUCAAAAUUUUUGUUCACAAUGUAAAUUCUUAUGUAAACGUACCUAAUGCUCAUUGUGUUUUAUGUGUAUGCUUUAUCAGCUUGUCAUAAAGUGAUAAUAUGGUGGUUUGAUGAAUGUGAGUAUGUAUAUUUUGUUUCUGCAGUUGAUUGCUAAGGAAUUUGGAAGUGUGUGUUCCCUUGAGUUUUUUUCUCAUGUGGAAGUGUGUAUGUUUUUUGGUAAUGAGAAGUAAUGUCUUCGGUAA